CCUUGUGAGUGGAUUUGGUAGACGGAAACUGAAAGAAGCCUAUCAUAUAUAUGUAUAUAUAUAUGUGUGUGUCUGUGUUUGUCCCUCUAGCAUUGCUUGACAACUGAUGCUGGGCUGUUUACGUCUCCAUAACUUAGCGGUUGGGCAGAAGAGACCGAUAGAAUAAGUACUAGGCUUACAAAGAAUAAGUCCUGGGGUCGAUUUGCUCGACUAAAGGCGGUGCUCCAGCAUGGCCACAUUCAAAUGACUGAAACAGGUAAAAGAGUAAAUAUAAAGUUUGCAUGUCACAUUUUUUUUUUUUUAUCACCUACUACCAGCUUACAACAUUUAAUGUAUCUGAUUCUCACCAAUCAUGGAGAACCUAACUUCAACUUCAUUCUUCCAGCUAACACAUGCACCCUUAUUUCCAACCAACUUUUUAGUUCUGAAAGAUUUUAUCUCUCAGGGUUCACUUGCAGUUUCUUUCCAGAUGUCUAAAAAUUUUAAAAUCUCAAAGAUCCAGCAAUCAUUGGUACACCAGGCAUUCUUAUUUUGGUACAAGGCCACAAAUUUAUAAAAGCAGCAUAAUCAAUUUAGUUCAGUAGUCAGCAUUUAACUGGUAUUCAUUUUAUCAACACUACAAAGCUGAAAGGUGACCUGUUGAUAUUCAUCAACUCUACCAAGGACUAUACAGUAUGUAAAAUGAG